AGCCUUUGGAGAGGAUUAAAGGUUAUACCUGCCCAAUGUUGUAUUAAUGGCCGCGGUACUUUGACCGUGCUAAGGUAGCACAAUCAAUUGGCCCUUAAUUAGGGUCAGGUAUGAAUGGAGUUACGGGGUUUAGCUGUCUCUAAACUAUUUAAUUGAAGUUGCUAUAUAGGUGAAAAAGCCUGUACUAAGAAAAAAGACGAGAAGACCCUUAGAGUUUUACUUAAAAAAGAGUUAUCUCUUCACUAGUUUUGUUGGGGCAACAUAGGGGAAGAACCAAACCUCCUAAAGAAUAUAAACCGAUAUUUUUAAAUGUGAAUAAACUACCUUAGGGAUAACAGCAUAAUUUUAAAAAUAAGUUUGUGACCUCGAUGUUGGACUAGGAAACUUAAGGGCUAGCCGCCCUUUGGUAAGGUUCUGUUCGAACUAUAAUUCCU
rnacentral:rRNA from 1 species